UCUUACCACGGUGCCUCUUCCAUCCCUCGACUACUCCCAAAGAUGCACCAGGAGCAACGCAGACAGUGUGGGACAGACCCUGCAGGUGUGGCGCCUCGGGCCAACCAGGAGACCCAGUCAGGGUGAGGCUCCUGCCGUGUCUCUGUCUUAGAGUGAAAAUCUAGAAGGAAGGUGGUUACCACGGGGAAGGGGGCUGGUACAUUUAUAUGUUAAAAAUUAAGACAGACUUUUUCUGCCUGAAAUUGAGACUGAUUCGGUGGAUCGGUUGGACUCGAAGGACAGCUUUGCUGAAGAAGUCAUUGUUACAGACUGACCGUCUG